GUCAGGUGUGGUGGUGCACAUCUGUAGUUCCAGCUACACAGAAGGCUGAGGCAGGAGGAUCGUUUGAGCCUAGGAGGUCGAGGCUGCAGUGAGCCGUGAUGGCGCCACUGCACUCCAGCCUGGGCAACAGAGCAAGAUCCUGUCUCCA
rfam:Homo sapiens chromosome 17, GRCh38 reference primary assembly.